UUAUUGAGGUAGGUUAAUGUCAAGUGCACGUGCACACCUCUAAUUUUAGGUCUAAUGUACCUACCAUUUUUCUAUCCAAAUAGAAGAUUAAAAUACCAUAUGAUCAUCCUGUCACUCCUGUCAGUUUUGUUUUGAUAAACGUCAAAGAUUUUUACAUUACAUCGGAAAAUAACUUCAACAAUCCAAAAUAAUUGAAGUCCAUGAAUAUUAAAAGAGUAAUUUACAUAAGUACAUAAAAUUUAUUUAAUUUAAAAAGCAAACUCAUAAAAUUUUGCACAGUUGUAAAGUCUAUACUCAUUGUUUGUAAGUUUACAAAUGAACAGAAUGUUAAAAAGAGUAUUUUCAACUUUCCGCAUUAACUAUGACAAACAAGCCCUUACCGAAAAACUAAAAAUGAAGGCCUGGCUUAUUCAUGAGUAUGGUGGUAUACAAAAUGCACAGCUCGGAGAAACGCGGCUCCCUAUUAUUAGAAGCCCUACAGAUGUGUUAGUACAAGUUCACAGUGCAUCUGUUAAUCCUAUAGAUGUAUUAAUGAUGGGUGGCUAUGGUAAUACUCUAUUGCAAAUGAUGAGGAAGGGUGAAUUGGAGCUUCCUCUAACAGUAGGUAGGGAUUUUUCAGGUACUGUUUUAGCCAAAGGACUAGGUGUGUCUGAUGAAUAUAAAAUUGGUGAUGAAGUGUAUGGUUUUGUGCCUUUAUAUAAACCUGGAACAUUUUCAGAAGCUGUUCUAACUGAUUCCUCAUAUAUCUUACCAAAACCAAAACACUUAAAUCACGUGGAGAGUGCUUCAUUAGUGUAUACAACUAUGACAGCAUGGAGUGCACUCUUUGUUUUCGGAAAUAUGAUUACAAAGCAAAAGGAAGGAUUAAGAGUGCUAAUUUUAGGUGCUUCAGGAGGGGUUGGAACUUGUGCAGUUCAGCUACUUAAAUCUCAAGGUUGUGAGGUUUUUGGUACUUGUGCAGAAGAUGCAGUGCCAUUGGUAAAAAAAUUAGGAGCAGAUUGUGUCUUCGAUUAUAAAGACAAAGAUUACGUACAAAAAGUAGCAAACGAAGGAAGGUAUCACAUAGUGUUAGAUGGUGCUAAAAUGGGUCCUCAAAACAUACCAAAAGAAUGGCAGUAUGAUACUUACAUAUCGUUAAAUUCACCAUUAUUAAAGAAUACCGACCAGUAUGGUUUACUUCCAGGAUUAGUAACGAGUAUUAAUAGUUUAAUUAGUACAAACUUGGAUCGAUGCCAACAAGGAGGUAGAGCCACGUGGGGAUUUUUCGUGCCAUCGGCUAGUGGGUUUCAGUUCAUUCAUGAACUGAUUGUAAAUAAGAAGAUACAACCAGUUAUUCAGCACACAUUUACAUUUGAUAAACUACCAGAAGCUCUUGAAACCAUUGAGAAGGGUCAUCUAAGAGGAAAAGUGGUUAUCGAUUUUAAAAAUUAAGUUUAUUUGUGAGCCUUAGUUUAACUGACGUUUUUUGUUUUAAAAUAAAUACAACCAGUUAUUCAGCACACAUUUACAUUUGAUAAACUACCAGAAGCUCUUGAAACCAUUGAGAAGGGUCAUCUAAGAGGAAAAGUGGUUAUCGAUUUUAAAAAUUAAGUUUAUUUGUGAGCCUUAGUUUAACUGACGUUUUUUGUUUUAAAAUAAAUACAACCAGUUAUUCAGCACACAUUUACAUUUGAUAAACUACCAGAAGCUCUUGAAACCAUUGAGAAGGGUCAUCUAAGAGGAAAAGUGGUUAUCGAUUUUAAAAAUUAAGUUUAUUUGUGAGCCUUAGUUUAACUGACGUUUUUUGUUUUAAAAUAAAUACAACCAGUUAUUCAGCACACAUUUACAUUUGAUAAACUACCAGAAGCUCUUGAAACCAUUGAGAAGGGUCAUCUAAGAGGAAAAGUGGUUAUCGAUUUUAAAAAUUAAGUUUAUUUGUGAGCCUUAGUUUAACUGACGUUUUUUGUUUUAAAAUAAAUACAACCAGUUAUUCAGCACACAUUUACAUUUGAUAAACUACCAGAAGCUCUUGAAACCAUUGAGAAGGGUCAUCUAAGAGGAAAAGUGGUUAUCGAUUUUAAAAAUUAAGUUUAUUUGUGAGCCUUAGUUUAACUGACGUUUUUUGUUUUAAAAUAAAUACAACCAGUUAUUCAGCACACAUUUACAUUUGAUAAACUACCAGAAGCUCUUGAAACCAUUGAGAAGGGUCAUCUAAGAGGAAAAGUGGUUAUCGAUUUUAAAAAUUAAGUUUAUUUGUGAGCCUUAGUUUAACUGACGUUUUUUGUUUUAAAAUAAAUACAACCAGUUAUUCAGCACACAUUUACAUUUGAUAAACUACCAGAAGCUCUUGAAACCAUUGAGAAGGGUCAUCUAAGAGGAAAAGUGGUUAUCGAUUUUAAAAAUUAAGUUUAUUUGUGAGCCUUAGUUUAACUGACGUUUUUUGUUUUAAAAUAAGUAAGUUGACUGUAUUGGCCUCAUACUACAUUCUGUGAUAAAAUUAUUUUGUUUUGUCUUAAAGUUACUAUUCCUCGAAAGUAUUGUUUGUUACGUUUAUAAAAAUAAUCAAGUUAUGUAUAUACCUAUAAAUUUAAUUCACUGGUUUCUGUAAUUCUUAUAAAUAAUACAAAAAAUCAAAA
rnacentral:misc_RNA from 1 species